rnacentral:rRNA from 1 species
UACGUAGGCAGCGAGCGUUGUUCGGAGUUACUGGGCGUAAAGCGUGCGCAGGCGGUUGUGCAAGACAGAGGUGAAAUCCCCGGGCUUAACCUGGGAAUGGCCUUUGUGACUGCACGGCUAGAGUGUGUCAGAGGGGGGUAGAAUUCCACGUGUAGCAGUGAAAUGCGUAGAGAUGUGGAGGAAUACCGAUGGCGAAGGCAGCCCCCCUGGGAUAACACUGACGCUCAGGCACGAAAGCGUGGGGAGCAAACAGGG